GCAAAAAUCGCCACUCGCCACCACGAAAUUCAUUUCCUCUCCACCACACGCGACCGCCCACGUUUUCACCAUAAUCGCCUUCUCUCCUCCUCCUCUUAACAAUCACCAAUCCAAUAAUGUCUUCCAAACCCUCCUCCGCCACUGUUUGCUUACAAGAAAUGGACGAGCUCCAAAAGGUUUUCAACCAGUUCGACUCCAACAGCGACGGCAAGAUCUCCACUGAUGAGCUCGGCGGUGUUCUCAAAGCUACGGGUUCUACCUACACCACCGAAGAGCUCGAACGCGUCAUGGACGAUAUAGACACCGAUAAGGAUGGCUUCAUCAAUCUGGAGGAGUUCGCUGAGUUCUGCCGCUCCUCCUCCAACGCCACUGCUGAAUCUGAGUUGAAGGAAGCGUUCGAUCUGUAUGACCAGAAUAAG
rnacentral:misc_RNA from 1 species